rnacentral:rRNA from 1 species
AUUGAACGCUGGCGGCAGGCCUAACACAUGCAAGUCGAGCGAGCGGCGGACGGGUGAGUAAUGUCUGGGAAACUGCCUGAUGGAGGGGGAUAACUACUGGAAACGGUAGCUAAUACCGCAUACCAUCAGAUGUGCCCAGAUGGGAUUUGCUAGUAGGUGGGGUAAUGGCGCACCUAGGCGACUAUCCCUAGCUGGUCUGAGAGGAGGACCAGCCACACUGGAACUGGGACACGGUCAAGACGUCUACGGGAGGCAGCAGUGGGGAAUAUUGCACAAGGGGCGCAAGCCGUAUGCAGCCAUGCCGCGUGUGUGAAGAAGGCCUUCGGGUUGUAAAGCACUUUCAGCGAGUAGGCGUUACUCGCAGAAGAAGCACCGGCUAACUCCGUGCCAGCAGCCGCGGUAAUAC